GAUUAACGCUGGCGGCGUGCUUAACACAUGCAAGUCGAACGAUGAUGCUGGAGCUUGCUCCAGUUGAUUAGUGGCGAACGGGUGAGUAACACGUGAGCAAUCUGCCCUUGACUCUGGGAUAACUGCGGGAAACUGUAGCUAAUACCGGAUACUUUCACCGGAAGGCAUCUUCUGGUGAUGAAAGAAUUUCGGUCAAGGAUGGACUCGCGGCCUAUCAGCUAGUUGGUGAGGUAAAGGCUCACCAAGGCGACGACGGGUAGCCGGCCUGAGAGGGUGACCGGCCACACUGGGACUGAGACACGGCCCAGACUCCUACGGGAGGCAGCAGUGGGGAAUAUUGCACAAUGGGCGCAAGCCUGAUGCAGCAACGCCGCGUGAGGGAUGACGGCCUUCGGGUUGUAAACCUCUUUUAGCAGGGAAGAAGCGAAAGUGACGGUACCUGCAGAAAAAGCACCGGCUAACUACGUGCCAGCCGCCGCCGUAA
rnacentral:rRNA from 1 species